rnacentral:rRNA from 1 species
AGGACGAACGCUUGCGACGUGCCUAAGAAAUGCAAGUCGAACGGGGUCAUCCUUCGGGGUGGCCUAGUGGCGAACGGUCGCGUAACACGUGGGCAACCUGCCCUGAAGCGGGGGACAACACACCGAAAGGUGUGCUAAUACCGCAUGUGAAUCGUGGUGGCAUCACCGAGGAUUCAAAGCCGCAAGGCACUUCAGGAUGGGCCCGCGGCCUAUCAGCUAGUUGGUGAGGUAACGGCCCACCAAGGCUUCGACGGGUAGCUGGUCUGAGAGGACGAUCAGCCGGAUUGGGACUGAGAUACGGCCCAGACUCCUACGGGGGGCAGCAAUUAGGAAUCUUGCGCAAUGGGCGAAAGCCUGACGCAGCGACGUCGCGUGAAGGAUGAAAUCUUUCGGGAUGUAAACUUCUUUUUUCGGGGAAGAAACAAAUGACGGUACCCGAAGAAUAAGCCCGCUAACUACGUGCCAGCAGCCGC